GAAUUCGCCCUUAGAGUUUGAUCCUGGCUCAGGACGAACGCUGGCGGCGCGCCUAACACAUGCAAGUCGAACGGAGCUUAGAGAGCUUGCUUUUUAAGCUUAGUGGCGAACGGGUGAGUAACGCGUGAGUAACCUGCCCUAGAGUGGGGGACAACAGUUGGAAACGACUGCUAAUACCGCAUAAGCCCACGGUGCCGCAUGACACUGAGGGAAAAGGAUUUAUUCGCUUUAGGAUGGACUCGCGUCCAAUUAGCUAGUUGGUGAGGUAACGGCCCACCAAGGCGACGAUCGGUAGCCGGACUGAGAGGUUGAACGGCCACAUUGGGACUGAGACACGGCCCAGACUCCUACGGGAGGCAGCAGUGGGGAAUAUUGCACAAUGGGGGAAACCCUGAUGCAGCGACGCCGCGUGGAGGAAGAAGGUCUUCGGAUUGUAAACUCCUGUUGUUGAGGAAGAUAAUGACGGUACUCAACAAGGAAGUGACGGCUAACUACGUGCCAGCAGCCGCGGUAAAACGUAGGUCACAAGCGUUGUCCGGAAUUACUGGGUGUAAAGGGAGCGCAGGCGGGAAGACAAGUUGGAAGUGAAAUCUAUGGGCUCAACCCAUAAACUGCUUUCAAAACUGUUUUUCUUGAGUAGUGCAGAGGUAGGCGGAAUUCCCGGUGUAGCGGUGGAAUGCGUAGAUAUCGGGAGGAACACCAAUGGCGAAGGCGGCCUACUGGGCACCAACUGACGCUGAGGCUCGAAAGUGUGGGUAGCAAACAGGAUUAGAUACCCUGGUAGUCCACACCGUAAACGAUGAUUACUAGGUGUUGGAGGAUUGACCCCUUCAGUGCCGCAGUUAACACAAUAAGUAAUCCACCUGGGGAGUACGACCGCAAGGUUGAAACUCAAAGGAAUUGACGGGGGCCCGCACAAGCAGUGGAGUAUGUGGUUUAAUUCGACGCAACGCGAAGAACCUUACCAAGUCUUGACAUCCUGCGACGAUGCUGGAAACAGUAUUUUCCUUCGGGACGCAGAGACAGGUGGUGCAUGGUUGUCGUCAGCUCGUGUCGUGAGAUGUUGGGUUAAGUCCCGCAACGAGCGCAACCCUUACUGUCAGUUACUACGCAAGAGGACUCUGGCAGGACUGCCGUUGACAAAACGGAGGAAGGUGGGGAUGACGUCAAAUCAUCAUGCCCUUUAUGACUUGGGCUACACACGUACUACAAUGGCGUUAAACAAAGAGAAGCAAGACCGCGAGGUGGAGCAAAACUCAGAAACAACGUCCCAGUUCGGACUGCAGGCUGCAACUCGCCUGCACGAAGUCGGAAUUGCUAGUAAUCGUGGAUCAGCAUGCCACGGUGAAUACGUUCCCGGGCCUUGCACACACCGCCCGUCA
rnacentral:rRNA from 1 species